UGGGGAAUUUUGGGCAAUGGGCGCAAGCCUGACCCAGCGACACUGCGUGGGUGAUGACGGUCUUUGGAUUGUAAAACCCUUUUAUGGAGGAGUAAGGCGGGAAGGAGGAAAUGCCUUUCCGUUUGACAGUACUCCAUGAAUAAGCCCCAGCCAACUACGUGCCAGCAGCUGCGGUAAUACGUAGGGGGCAAGCGUUGUCCGGAAUUACUGGGUGUAAAGGGUGUGCAGGCGUCUCCCUAAGUUGAUUGUGAAAGCCCGAAGCUCAACUUCGGAACGGCAGUCAAUACUGGGGGGAUGGAGGUUAUGGGAGGGAAGUGGAAUUCUCGGUGUAGCGGUGAAAUGCGUAGAUAUCGAGAGGAACACCGGUGGCGAAGGCGGCUUCCUAUCAUAGACCUGACGC
rnacentral:rRNA from 1 species